UCGCGUCGCUACUCGCUAGACCUAGGGUUUUGUUUUUCUCGCGUCGGCCUUCUCCGAGACGGAGCUAUGAAGAAGCUCUCCUCUUACAUCCGACGUAGAUUAGCAAGAAGCGGCAGGCAAGUGAUAUGAGAACGCAUAUCAAUCUUUUCUUCUUUUCUAAAAGGGAUUCAAGUUACCUGGGAAUAUUUUUUAUGUUAUGAUGGAACAGCUAACUGCGUAGGGCCGUCCAUUAUUACCGAGUUGCCUUCCUAGGGGAUGUACCUUGGAUAGAUGCUUCAUUAGAUGACUUGCCGUUCAAAGUAAGCUACUUCUUCCUUUCCCAUCUGGUGUUAAUACCACUUAAUUUGUUAUCUUAUCUGGAGAUUAAUUGCUUAACCAUUUCGAUGAGGCUAGUAACAUAGUGAUAAGCCAUUGAUGAGCCGCUCAUUUAAGAGCGAAGCUGAACUGAAUCAUAUUAUUUUGAUUUGUAAUAGUUUCAACAUUGUAGUGGGUCUUUCAGAGUUUUUGUCUAGAGUUUUGGGUUGUCCAAAUCAUCUGCAUUAACUUUAUGUAAUGCAUCUCAGCAUGAUUAGCAUUCAUGAAUUCUAUGCUGUGUUGUGGCCUUUGAGCAAUCAAUGUAAAUGAUUACAGUUAGUGACCAGACAACUGCGGGGACGGUUCCACAAAUGCUAGAUAAUUCUGCAAUCUACCGAUGAAAUACAAGCUCUAAAAAGCUUGCACUAGUUGUUUCUUUGAAAUGAUUACAUUUGCAUGCUCCUGCUUAACAAAUAUAUAAUACCAGAUAUUGUAAUUUCUAGUAUUCUUUGGGGAAAAAUGCUUGAUUGUCUGCUUUUUUUUUAGAUUUGUUCUAACUCGUCAUCUGAAAUUUGAUCCUGCACCUUGUGUCUGAUGGGUCCUCUGAUUUUUAUGGUGAGACCUCUAGUUCUGGUGCAUAAAGGAAAUGCUAUUUUUAUAGCAACGGCCAGACAACCGUAGAGAUGAAUCCACAGACAAAUGGUUUUUGUAUAAUUUGUCUACUGAUUUCAUCUCAAAUUCUGAAAGAUUUUUUACAGAAGCACAAUAAUUGCAUUGCCUAAGUGUGUUUGGAACUUGAGGUGAAAGUUUCUGGAUUUCCUAGUUCGACUUAAUUGCCUCUUUGGUACUACUUAUCUUGUAUAGCUGUGGUGCGAUAAUUCUUAUCUGUUUCUUAAAAAAUGUUGUGUUGAAUGAACAUCAAUGCCAAAUCCUACACACUUAUUCUUGAAGAAUGAAGGUAUAUGUUUUGUAAUGCAUGAUUAAUUUUGGGUUCCUUGAGA